rnacentral:lncRNA from 1 species
CCUUAAGGAUGUUUGUAUAUUGGGCUCUGAGUUUGAUCUUAUCAAACUUGAUUCAGAUUCAUUCAUUAGUGUCGAUUUUUCUAUCUAUCGAACUUCGUCAAGCUCAACUUUAGAAGCACUUAUUCCUUCACUAAGGAACUUCUUUUUCAAAAAGUGUGACUUGCUGCUGAUAAAUACUUUUUAUUCAGUAGGGAGAUAAAAGUAAUAUCUUCUUAUUUCCUUGAAGUACCCUACAAAAUUAUACUUAUCG